rnacentral:ncRNA from 1 species
AACGACCGGCUGGACACCCGCGUGCCAACGCAAGCGUCCGGCCCACAAGUGGAGGCUCCGAUCUCCCACCUGGCCGCUCCAUGGAGCGGCGGGUCACCGGUCAGGCGGACACCGCGCAGCGCGUGAUGCACCGCCCGAUGCGCCCCGUGAUCACCACGGAGGUGCUCCGGUAUUCGUUGGAGCCCCUUCUGUGAUCAGUCGGGGCAUUUUUU